rnacentral:ncRNA from 1 species
ACUUAGCGAACUGAAACAUCUGAGUAGCUAAAGGAAGGAAAAUCAACCGAGACCCCGUUAGUAGCGGCGAGCGAGAGCGGAACAAGGGUUUUCAUCAAAAGAAAUCCGAAGCGGUUUCAUUCGAUUUGUUGUGGAUUGGAUGAUGGAAAAACCAGCAAGCAGCAAGCGUAGUUAGAAAAGUUGCCGUAGCGCGCCCUACAGAGUUGUACAAAGUCAGCAACCGUUUUGGGGCGCAAGCAUAGGCAACACAGGACUGAUGACGGGGUGGGGCGCGCAGUGAACUGGUUUUCUAAAAAGAUUGGAAGAUCCGGCCAAAGAAGGUGAUAGCCCUGUUCAUUCGUUCCCAUGGUUCGAUCCUUCCCAGUAAAACGCGGCGUGUUCGAAUGAUGAUGGCUUUUACGCGAGAAAGGGGGACCACCCUCUAAGCCUAAGUAUUCCUCAAUGACCGAUAGCGUACAAGUACCGUGAGGGAAAGGUGAAAAGAACCCCAAUCGGGGAGUGCAAUAGAGAACCUGAGAUCCGAUGCGAACAAUUAGUCGAAGGAGCGGAGCGCGGGCGCACUCACUCUAACGGCGUACCUUUCGCAUGAUG